AACGAACGCUGGCGGCAGGCUUAACACAUGCAAGUCGAACGCCCCGCAAGGGGAGUGGCAGACGGGUGAGUAACGCGUGGGAAUCUACCCAGUUCUACGGAACAACUGAGGGAAACUUCAGCUAAUACCGUAUACGCCCUACGGGGGAAAGAUUUAUCGGAAUUGGAUGAGCACGCGUUGGAUUAGCUAGUUGGUGAGGUAACGGCUCGCCAAGGCGACGAUCCAUAGCUGGUCUGAGAGGAUGAUCAGCCACACUGGGACUGAGACACGGCCCAGACUCCUACGGGAGGCAGCAGUGGGGAAUAUUGGACAAUGGGCGCAAGCCUGAUCCAGCCAUGCCGCGUGAGUGAUGAAGGCCUUAGGGUUGUAAAGCUCUUUCAGUGGGGACGAUAAUGACGGUACCCACAGAAGAAGCCCCGGCUAACUUAGUGCCAGCCGCCGCGGUAAAAC
rnacentral:rRNA from 1 species